CACUCCAGCCUGGGUGACAGAGUGAGACUCUGUCUCAAAAAAAAAAAAAAAAAAGUGAGCACUGGCCCGGCUCAGUGGCUCACGCCUGUAAUCCCAGCACUUUGGGAGGCCGAGGUGGGUGGAUCACUUGAGGUCAGGAGUUUGAGAUCAGCCUGGCCAACAUGGUAAAAACCUGUCUCUACUAAAAAAUACAAAAAUUAGUCAGGCGUGGUGGUGGACGCCUGUAAUCCCAGCUACUGGGGAGGCUGGGGUGGGAGAAUCACUUGAACCCAGGAGGUGGAGGUUGCAGGGAGCUGGGAUCAUGCCAUUGCACUCCAGCCUAGGUGACAAGAAUGAAACUCCAUCUCAAAAAAAAAAAAAAAAAAAAAAAGCGAGCACUUAUUAAGCACCUACUGUACGCCAGGCACCUGGUUAAUCCUCUCAUCCACUCAACUCAUGUCCACACUCACAUCCCCAGCUGCGUGGGUCCCCAUAUGCCACCUGAGUGCCCCAUGCCCUGCCCAGGGAGUGUCGGGGGUCUUGGAGCUACAGAUGGUGUCAGUUUCCCCAACAGGUCCAAGGGUCCGUGAGACACCCAGAGCAGGUCAGAGACCCACCCACAGACUCCUCGUGGUACAGAGACACACACACCCCUACGAGGACACACCCUUGCAGACCACCUCCCCUGGAUCCCUAACACCGCAAGUGGAGUGGCACACAGAGACAUGUGGACACGUGUUAACACAUCUGCACAAACUUGUCGUAUAUCCCUGCACCAGGGCCAGGACUAGGGUACAGACAGGGAGGCACGAAGCCAUCAGGAUAUUUUUUUGAGGCCAGGCACCGUGGCUCACACCUGUCAUCCCAGCAUUUUGGGAAGCCUAGGUGGGUGCGUUGCUUGAGCCCAGGAGUUCAUGACCAGCCUUGGCAAUACAGCAAAACCUCAUCUCUGCAGAAAAUACAAAAAUUAGCUGGGCAUAAUUCUGCAUGCCUGUAGUCCCAGCUACUUGGGAGGCUGAGGUGGGAGGAUCGCUUGAGCCUGGGAAGGCAAGGCUGCAGUGACCCGAGAUCGUGCCACUGCACUCCAGCCUGAGUGACAGAGCAAGACUGUCUCAAAAGAAAAAAAAAAGGACUUAUGAAAAUUUAGAGGGUUGUUUACCCUCUACCCAAUCUGCAGUUUACAAUUGACACCAGUGGUUCUCAAACCAGGGUGAUUUUGUUUCCAGGGGAUACUUGUCUGGGGACAGUUUUAGAUGUCACAACUUGGAUGGGGUGUGAGGCUAUUCAUGGCAUUAGGGGGCAGAAGACAGAGAUGUUAUCUAACACCCUACAAUAUACAGGACAGCCCCACUACCAUAUACAUCCCCAAAUGUCAGCAUCAGCUUUUUUUUUUUGAGAUGGAGUCUCGCUCUGUUGCCAAGCUGGAGUGCAGUGGCGUGAUCUUGGCUCACUGCAACCUCCACCUCCCGGGUUCAAGUGAUUCUCCUGCCUCAGCCUCCUGAGUAGCUGAGACUACAGGUGUGCGCCACAACGCCCGGCUAAUUUUUGUAUUUUUAGUAGAGACGAGGUUUCGCCACGUUGGCCAGGCUGGUCUCACCAGCCUGAGAGUAGCUAGUCACAGCUACUCAGGAGGCUGAGGUGGGCAGAUUGCUUGAGUCUGGGAGGCAGAGGUUGCAAUGAGCCGAGAUCACGCCACUGCACUCCAGCCUGGGUGAUAGAGUGAGACCCUGUCUCAAAAUAUAUAUAUAUAAUAAUAAUAAUAUUAAUAUUUUUCCCUUUUUUGAGACAAGGGUCUCUGUCUCAGGCUGAGUCUCAUAUUGCCCAGGUUGGUCUCAAACUCCUGGCCUCAAGUGAUCUUCCCUCCUAGCCUCCUGAGUAGCAGGGAUUACAGGCAUGAGCCACCACAUCCAGCAAGGUAAGUAUUUUAAUGCAAUACUUUUAAAAUAAAAUUUAAAAUAUUUGUAAAAAGGCCAGGCACAGCGGCUCACGCUUGUAAUCCCAACACUUUGGGAGGCUGAGGCGGGCAGAUCACCUGAGGUCAGGAGUUCAAGACCAGCCUGGCCCGGGCACAGUGGCUCAUGCCUGUAAUCCCAGCCCUUUGGGAGGCCGAGGCAGGUGGAUCACGAGAUCAGGAGAUUGAGACCAUCCUUGCUAACAUGGUGAAACCCCAUCUCUACUAAAAAUACAAAAAAUUUAGCUGGGCUUGGUGGCAGGCGCCUGCAGUCCCAGCUACUCAGGAGGCUGAGGCAGGAGAAUGGCGUGAAGCCGGGAGACGGAGCUUGCAGUGAGCCGAGAUCACACCACUGCACUCCAGCCUGGGGGACAGAGCGAGACUCAAUGUCAAAACAAAACAAAACAAAACAAAACAAGACCAGACUGGCCAACAUGGUGAAACCUGUUGUUUCACCUGUUCACCUGUCUCUACUAAAAAUACAAAAAAAAAAAAAAAUCAGCUGUGCAUGGUAGUGGGUGACCUGGGGAGUGGCCUGUAAUCCCAGCUACUUGGAAGGCUGAGGCAGGAGAAUUGCUUGAACUCAGGAGGCGGAGGUUGCAGUGAGCUGAGAUCGUGCCACUGCACUUCAGCCCGGGUGACAGAGCGAGACUCCAUCUCAAACAAACAAACAAAAUACAAAAAUUAGCCAGGUGUGGUGGUGCGUGCCCGCAGUCCCAGCUACUCUGGAGGCUGAGGCAGGAAAAUUGCUGGAACCCGGGAGGCAGAGGUUGCAGUGAGACGAGAUCACGUCACAGCACUCUGGUUUGGGUGACAGAGCGAGGCUAUGUCUCAAAAUAAAUAAAUAAAAAUAAAAUAAUAAAAUAAAGUAACAUAAUUGUGAAAAGCAAUACUUUUCAAAAGCAAUACUUUUAAAUACUUUUAAAGCUGGACACAGUGACUCACAUCGCUAAUCCCAACACUUUGGAAGGUCAAGGUGGGAGGAUUACUUGAGCUCAGGAGUUUGAG
rnacentral:lncRNA from 10 species